rnacentral:pre_miRNA from 1 species
AGCUUUCCGAAUCCGUGCUGAGAUUUCUUCAGACACCAACCCAUUAGGGCUGAUGAGACUUCCAAAAUAAACGAAGUU